AGGCAGGCGUUGUGCACAAUCAGCCACCAGUCUGGGAGAGACUGGGCUCUGAGCAGAGAAAAAGGAGCUGGGACAGCCAGAAAAUGAAAAAGCAGUUGUGGCCCCGGCACAGGAUGGCAGCGACCAAAACUUAAGAGUAGGGGUCCUGGCCCAAGUCCCAUUCUUCUGGACGGUACCCUUGGUUAAAGGCUAGCACAGGGUGCCAAAGCUAGCGGACGGUGAGGAGCCUCAGAAAAGGGACUGAUGGACAUCCUCCGAGGUACCCCCUACCCGCUACUGGACCUGGUGGCCCCCGGGGACCCUGUCGUCGAGGCACCUGAGAGUGAAGGCCUUCAGCGGGGGGCAUUGUUCACAGCGAACGGCGGGACUGGGGGAGGCGCGAGUCCACCGAGGCCAUCGCCAGGUGGAGCGGCGGCCCCGGCGAGGUACCCUCGGCCAGCAGGAGGGAGAAGCGGAGGGCGCGUCCCAGAGGCGGGGGCCAAGGGUCUGCCACUCACCCGCGCCUUCGGCGGGCUGCGGCGGCCCGACGACGCCGUUCAGGUAGAGAAUGGGCAGCAGAAUAGGGAAAUUUGGAUGCAGAGACACAGAGAAAAUGCCAUGUGAAGAUGGAUCAGAGACAGAAGUGAUGCGGCUGCAAGCCAAGGAAUGUGAAGAAUGGCCAGCCACCACCGGAAGCUAGGGGAGACGCCAGCACAGAUUCUCCCUGAGAGUAUCCAGAAGAAACCAACCCUCCAACACCUGGAUUUCAGAC
rnacentral:lncRNA from 1 species